rnacentral:rRNA from 1 species
GAUGAACGCUAGCUACAGGCUUAACACAUGCAAGUCGAGGGGAAACGACAUCGAAAGCUUGCUUUUGAUGGGCGUCGACCGGCGCACGGGUGAGUAACGCGUAUCCAACCUGCCCACCACUUGGGGAUAACCUUGCGAAAGUAAGACUAAUACCCAAUGACGUCUCUAGAAGACAUCUGAAAGAGAUUAAAGAUUUAUCGGUGAUGGAUGGGGAUGCGUCUGAUUAGCUUGUUGGCGGGGUAACGGCCCACCAAGGCGACGAUCAGUAGGGGUUCUGAGAGGAAGGUCCCCCACAUUGGAACUGAGACACGGUCCAAACUCCUACGGGAGGCAGCAGUGAGGAAUAUUGAUCAAUGGACGAGAGUCUGAACCAGCCAAGUAGCGUGCAGGAUGACGGCCCUAUGGGUUGUAAACUGCUUUUAUAAGGGAAUAAAGUGAGUCUCGUGAGACUUUUUGCAUGUACCUUAUGAAUAAGGACCGGCUAAUUCCGUG